UACGUAGGGCGCGAGCGUUGUCCGGAAUUAUUGGGCGUAAAGAGCUCGUAGGCGGCCUGUCGUGUCUGCUGUGAAAUCCCGGGGCUUAACCCCGGGCGUGCAGUGGAUACGGGCAGGCUGGAGGCAGGCAGGGGAGAACGGAAUUCCCGGUGUAGCGGUGAAAUGCGCAGAUAUCGGGAGGAACACCGGUGGCGAAGGCGGUUCUCUGGGCCUGUACUGACGCUGAGGAGCGAAAGCGUGGGGAGCGAACAGG
rnacentral:rRNA from 1 species